GUUACCUGCGAGACGAAUCUAAGUUCACCUUAGCCCCUCCCCAAGGAUUCCUAAUAACCCAAACUGAAGUGAGCUAAGAGCUAUCCAAAGGAGGUACAGCUCCUUUAGCAAAGAAUACAGCCUUCACUAGUGGAUAAUUCUAGCCCCUCCAAAAAAAUUGUAGGCCUUCAAGCAGCCACCAACAAAGAGUGCGUCAAAGCUCCUCAUAAAAAAAAUACAAAAACAACACGACUCCCUUCAAAACUAGCAGGUCAAUCUAUAGACAAUAGAAGAACUAAUGCUAAAAUAAGUAACUAGGUAGCUUAUUACCUCUCAAGCGCAAACUUACCACCAACCACCAUUAACAAGAAAAUUAAUGUCCCAACCACAACAAGACUAAACAUUCCAACACACUGUUAACCCAACUCAGGUGCGCCCACUAGAAAGAUUAAAAUCUGUAAAAGGAACUCAGCAAACACAAGACCCGACUGUUUACCAAAAACAUAGCCUCCAGCCCAACAAGUAUUGGAGGUGAUGCCUGCCCAGUGACACCACAUUCAACGGCCGCGGUAUCCUA
rnacentral:rRNA from 1 species